GACGUAGGGUGCAAGCGUUGUCCGGAUUUAUUGGGCGUAAAGAGCUCGUAGGCGGUUUGUCGCGUCGACUGUGAAAACCCGAGACUUAACCUCGGGCCUGCAGUCGAUACGGGCAGACUAGAGUUCGGUAGGGGAGACUGGAAUUCCUGGUGUAGCGGUGAAAUGCGCAGAUAUCAGGAGGAACACCGGUGGCGAAGGCGGGUCUCUGGGCCGAUACUGACGCUGAGGAGCGAAAGCGUGGGGAGCGAACAGG
rnacentral:rRNA from 1 species